UGGUGGAGUGAUUUGUCUGGUUAAUUCCGUUAACGAACGAGACUUCUGCGCUUUAUUACAUAAAGCGGACUGUCGGUGCUGAGCCGAUGGAAGUUGGAGGCGAUAACA
rnacentral:rRNA from 1 species